AACGAACGCUGGCGGCGUGGUUUAGGCAUGCAAGUCGAGCGAGAAAGCUUCCUUCGGGAAGUGAGUACAGCGGCGAACUGGUGAGUAACAGGUGGGUCAUGUGCCCUCGAGUUGGGGACAACAUCCAGAAAUGGGUGCUAAUACCGAAUACGGUCUCAUUCCUUAUGGGUUUGAGUCGAAAGGCUUCGGUCGCUCGAGGAUCAGCCCGCUCCCGAUUAGCUUGUUGGUGGGGUAAGAGCCUACCAAGGCGACGAUCGGUAGGUGGCCUGAGAGGGUGGUCACUCACACCGGGAUUGAGAUACUGCCCGGACUCCUACGGGAGGCUGCAGUCUAGAGGCAUCCGCAAUGGACGAAAGUCUGACGGUGCGACGCCGCGUGUGGGAUGAAGGUCGUGAGAUUGUAAACCACUGUUAGUGGGGAAGAAGGCCUGUAUGGUGAAUAUGGGUUCGACGGUACCCGCAGAGAAAGCCCCGGCUAACUACGUG
rnacentral:rRNA from 1 species